CGUGCUGCUAAGUUUGGGGGGAGGGUGUUGCGGGGGCUUGCUUCGUCCUCUCCAGUUAUCAGCCCCUCAUUCGCUCCAUCACCUAAAGUGUUAAAAAAAAAAAAAAAGGCUCUUGGGUCCCACCGUAAGAGCGCAUAAAGAGAGGAGGUACAAUGACCGUCCUUUGCCAUUGUAGGGCUCCCUAAUUUAUGCGUUUUUAGACCCUUAAGCAUCAUUUUGUGGGCAACCAAACGGGCACUUCCAAAUUAGCUCAAAGUAUCCAAGCCCAGAGAAGAGAGAAAACACACAUACACUGAUAAAUACGCAGAUGCUAACUUGUAAGUAUUCUGUUUUUCCUCUGUGGGGAUGGAAAUUGAACAAGGGAAAGAGGGGGAACAUUUUUAUUUCCUAAAAUGUUUCCUACUGAGUUUGCACUUGUAAAGUUUUUUCUGCUUUCUUUCCCUUUGUGUGUGUUCUUACUCUCUUUCUCUCAGUAAAUAUCUCUGACUUAAGUUUAUUCUCCCAUCACUACCGUGAUCAAAAAGAAGAGAAAGACAAAAUAUCAAAACUUCCAAAUAUUUCUAGUUGUUCGCAACGGGUCUUUUUGUUGUUGUUGGAAAAAUAUAACCUGUUCAAGCGAUAUGAAAAUGGAUGCAGAAAUCAGGUCUUUUAUGAACUUGAAACACAUCGGCUAGGUCUUCAUCCUCACCUGCACUGGAAUUACCUACUUAAGAAAAACAAACUAAUGAUACACAAAGAAGCACUUAUAAAUUACAUAUCUUCAUGCCGGAAACACUAUUUGGAUGCGUGUGGAUGAUUCUGAAAAUUGAUAUAGUCUGAAGGAUGUAUAUGUACAUUUAUAUAUAGACACAAUAUAACCCAAUUGAUAUUCCAUUGAAGCUUUGUAUUCAUUUCAUCAGAUUAUCGUGUACCUAAAUUAUGUGUGGAAAUUUAUACUUAGUAGAUUCUCAAAUAUUAUUGGCUAAACUGCAUUUCACAGGAAAUGUAUUUCUCAGGAGUGUUUUCUCAUUGUUUUCCUUAAAAAACAAUGCUGGCACCCAGCAAAAUAAUAAAAUUAAAAAAUAAAAUAAAAUGCAAAUACUGCCUAAGGGAAUACAGUGAAAAGAAUUGGUUCUCACUCUCCUAUCCUUCAAGGCUCCUAGUUCUUCGCCUCAGAGGAAUUUGGUGUUACCUGUUUCUUUUGGAAUGGCCUGUCCAUCUAGAAGCAUACUACCAUUUUACACACAAAAGAUAGCAUGCUCUAUGUGAUUUGGUACCUUGCCUUUUUCAUAGUUUAGGUUUUUAUAGUUUCACACAUUGCAACAUUGAAAACAGACGAAGAUAGGCUGUGGCAGAUACAGAAAUUUUUUCUAGACAAAAAGACAAGAUUUCUCUAGACAAAACACUCCUGGCUUUCUGGCAAAAAUGUGGUAUUUGUUGAAAAUCUCUGAUGUGUUAGAUAGCCUUAGUGCCAAAAAUAUUUAGCAAAAAAAUUCUAAGGAAAGAGCCUUCUGCAGUUUGGAUUUGCUCUUGGCAGACAGAAGCUCAGCGAAAGGGACCUGAGAGGAGUUGAGAAACUUCUGACAUACCCACUUUGAAGUGGGGGUCCAGCCAGUACUUAGAGGGAAAUAUUGUUUAUCUAGGUGGUGAAUAGGUUUUCAGUGGGUCUUGUAUUUCCUCAUCAAGACUGUUUGAAAAUAUAACUUUCUGCUUGAUACCCAAAAACGUAAGUGCCUUUUAGAACUGAGACACUUGCUACAUUUGCAAUUAGUUUAAACUAGUUGUGCAACAAUUUGAUUAAUAAGUUUUAUGUUGUGGAAGUAGCCUUAAAAUAUUGUCUUUGCAGUUGGGAAGGAAUAAAGAAACAUCUUAAGGAUACUAGUAUUUUGCAGCAAAAUUUGAGGUUAUAAAGAGGAAAAUAAAACUGCCAUAGAGAUGAAACACAAAGUUUAUUUGAAUUAUUUUACUUUUUUUUGCUAAAUUCAUCAGUUUCUGAGAUCUGGUUCUCAUU
rnacentral:lncRNA from 1 species